rnacentral:rRNA from 1 species
AGGACGAACGCUGGCGGCGUGCUUAACACAUGCAAGUCGAGCGAGAGCCAGUUGAGGGGUAACCCUCGACUGGGGACAGCGGCGAACGGGUGCGUAACACGUGGGCAACCUGCCCCUGACACUGGGAUAACCCCGGGAAACCGGAGCUAAUACCGGAUACUCUCGGCCGAUCACAUGGCUGGCCGAGGAAAGGUCCGCCGGUCAGGGAUGGGCCCGCGGCCUAUCAGCUUGUUGGUGGGGUAACGGCCUACCAAGGCGACGACGGGUAGCUGGUCUGAGAGGACGACCAGCCACACUGGAACUGAGAUACGGUCCAGACUCCUACGGGAGGCAGCAGUGGGGAAUAUUGCACAAUGGGCGAAAGCCUGAUGCAGCGACGCCGCGUGAGGGAUGAAGGCCUUCGGGUCGUAAACCUCUUUCGGCAGGGACGAAGCGAUCAGUGACGGUACCUGCAGAAGAAGCCCGGCUAACUACGUGCCAGCAGCCGC